rnacentral:sRNA from 1 species
GGUAAAAUCACCAAAGAGGAGUGGACAAAGAUGUGGGAAGAGUGUAUAAAAGAUGUGGUCGACGGAAAGAAAUUUCCAGAAUGGCAGCAGAAAUACAUGGAGUUUAUGUUCUACGCUAACGACACAUCAGGUGACGGGUUCAUUGACCGUGACGAGUACACAGCCAUUUAUCGUCUGUUUGGUUUCUCACAAGAUGACGUCAACGUUUGU